rnacentral:tRNA from 1 species
GGGGUUGUAGCCCAGUGGUUGAGUGCUUGCCUCGCACGCGUGAGAUCCUGGGUUCGAUCCCCAGCAUCACAU